GCUGGGCCGGCGGCGGCGGCGGUACGAGGCGCGCGCUCGGGGUCCCGGUCGCGAGGAGGAGGAGGAUGUGGCGCGCGGAGGGGAAAUGGCUGCCGAAAACAAGCCGGAAGAGCGUUUCCCAAAGUGUAUUCUGCGGAACUAGCACCUACUGUGUUCUCAACACCGUGCCACCUAUAGAAGAUGAUCAUGGGAACAGCAAUAGUAGUCAUGUAAAAAUCUUUUUACCGAAAAAGCUGCUUGAAUGUCUGCCGAAAUGUUCAAGUUUACCAAAAGAGAGGCACCGUUGGAACACUAAUGAGAGAUCAUGAUGCAGCCGUCCUUUUGGAUUUCUUUUUAAUAAUGUGUGACCCUUCACCUUUGAUCCCCUGACCUGCAUUACCUUGUGGCUCGGCUCAUGAUCUCCAGGAGCUGCAAACAACCCAGAUGUCAUUCAACUGGUGAAUGAAAAAGCACCUGCAUUGAGAUACUACUCAGCAGUAGAAAGGAACGAACCAGUACAGCAUGGGUGUAUCUCGAACACCCCAUGCACAGUAAAAAGAAAUCAGAAAACACUGAAAAGUGUCUGCUUCCAWACAUAUGACAUUCUUCAAAAGGCCAAACCAAGAUGGAAAGAAAAUGGGUUGGUGGUUGCCAGGGCCUGGGGUGAGGAUGAGUUAACCAACAAAGGGCACAAGGAACUUUCUGGGGUUGGUGGAAAUGUUCUAUAUCUUGGUUGUGGUAGUGGGUACACAAAUUAUGAAUUUUUGAAUGUGUGGAUCUAAGCAGUUUGAACAGGGGACUCAAARGAAGAUUCCACAGAUGACAUGGAAGGUGGGGAGGUGCUCCACAUCUUCACUUGUCAGGGAACUGCAGAUUGAAACCACAGUGAGGUGCACUCUGUUAGAAAGUCUGAGAUGAGCAAGACCACCAGCAUUGAACAUCAACUAGACCUUGGCGCAGCGUAGCCCUCAUAGGCACUGGUGGAUGUUGAGUGGUGCAGCCUCUUUGGAGGUCUGUUGUCCAUUUCCCCCCUAUAAUUAAACGUGAUCUACGCUAUGAUCCAGUAAUCCUACUUUUAAUUUACCAUAGAGAAAUGAAAAUAUAUGUUCACAAAAUGACUUAUUAGAAUGUGUAUAUGAAGCCCCAAACUGGGAACAGCCCAAAUGUCCAUCAACUGAAAAGUUAAUAAAAAGAAUGAAUGACAAAUAAAACCAUAUGGAUGGAGCUCAAAGAAGUACAUAUUGUGUGAGUGCAUUUAGUAGAAUCC